CAGCACGCCGCGUGGGUGAGGAAGGACUUCGGUUUGUAAAGCCCUGUAAAUGUGGAAAAAGAGACGGACGUCGAACAGGCGUACGGAUUGAUGGUACACAUAGAGUAAGCACCGGCUAACUUCGUGCCAGCAGCCGCGGU
rnacentral:rRNA from 1 species